rnacentral:lncRNA from 1 species
CCGGCAUUUAGAGAUGUUCGUCCUGGUAUUUAAGUUAAGUUUAUUUUAAAUAUAAUCAAUACUUUUCACAUUGGCCAUUUUGUCAUCAUUAAACAUUUAACGUUAUGAUUACUGAAACGCAAUUUUCGAUAUAUUGUUUACGUUGUUGACAAUUCAUGAUGUCAACUCGUAAAACAACGAACUUUGUAGGUUUUCACCUUCGCAAAAGAAUAUAUAAACAUAACUAAAAC